ensembl:misc_RNA Y_RNA Y RNA
GGCUGGUCCAGGUGGAGUGAGUUAUCUCAGCUGAUUGUUCACAAGCAGUUACUGAUGGAACUCCUGAUUCUGUUCUUUUCCCACUUCUCACUACUGCAUUUGUCGAGUUAAAA